GGCAUAAGGCUAUCCUAACUAUAAGAUAAGGCUAGGGACUAAUGAAAGUAUUUAGAAAAUUGGGCAGACUAGAUGGGCCGAAUGGUUCUUAUCUGCCGUCACAUUCUAUGUUUCUAUGUUUCUAUGUUUCUAUAAAAAUAAAUGGAGGCAUUCGUAACGUGAGAUUAGUGAGCACUCACUUAAUUUAAACUCCAGUCUUCAAGUCAAAAUAUUAAUAAAUA